rnacentral:rRNA from 1 species
CUGGUUGAUCCUGCCAGUAAUCAUAUGCUUGUCUCAAAGAUUAAGCCAUGCAUGUCUAAGUACAAACUCUAGCACAGUGAAACUGCGAAUGGCUCAUUAGAUCAGUUAUGGUUCCUUAGAUGAUACAAUCCUACUUGGAUAACUGUGGUAAUUCUAGAGCUAAUACAUGCACUAAAGCUCCGACCCUUUCUGAGGGGAAGAGCGCGUUUAUCAGUUCGAAGCCAGCCGAGCCGCAAGGKCUCCUUCUUUGGUGACUCUGGAUAACUCUAGCGGAUCGCACGGCCUCGAGCCGGCGACGCAUCUAUCAAGUGUCUGCCCUAUCAGACUGUCGAUGGUAAGUGCUAUGCUUACCAUGGUGAUAACGGGUAACGGGGAAUCAGGGUUCGAUUACGGAGAAGGAGCCUGAGAAACGGCUACCACAUCCAAGGAAGGCAGCAGGCGCGCAAAUUACCCAAUCUCGAUACGAGGAGGUAGUGACGAAAAAUAACAAUACGGGACUCUUUCGAGGCCCCGUAAUUGGAAUGAGUGUACUCUAAACGUGUGCACGAGGAUCUAUUGGAGGGCAAGUCUGGUGCCAGCAGCCGCGGUAAUUCCAGCUCCAAUAGCGUAUAUUAAAGCUGUUGUGGUUAAAAAGCUCGUAGUUGGAUCUCAGGGUCGUUCGCGUCGGUCCCUUGCUGCAAUGGCUCGGGUACUGCGCGGUGUCGUCCCCCUUGCCAGACCUCUCAAAAAGGUUGCUCUUGACUGAGUGGCCUGCUCGAGUGGCUGGAGAGUUUACUUUGAAAAAAUUAGAGUGUUCAAAGCAGGCACAGCCCGCCUGUAUAAUGGUGCAUGGAAUAAUGGAAUAGGACCCCGGAUCCUAUUUUGCUGGUUUUUGGAGCUCAGGGGUAAUGAUUAAGAGGAACAGGGCGGGGGCAUCCGUAUUACGGCGUUAGAGGUUGAAAUUCUUGGAUCGUCGUAAGACGCCCUACAGCGAAAGCAUUUGCCAAGUAUGUUUUCAUUAAUCAAGAACGAAAGUCAGAGGUUCGAAGACGAUCAGAUACCGUCGUAGUUCUGACCGUAAACUAUGCCAACUGGCAGCCCGUCGGCGUUGCUCUAUUCGACUCGGCGGGAGGCCUACCCGAAAGGAAAGUCUACGGGUUCCAGGGGAAGUAUGGUUGCAAAGCUGAAGCUUAAAGGAAUUGACGG